AUUCAAGAAAGGAUGGUUCUGUUCAUAGUAAUGCGGCUUCACAUGUGGAAAAAGUCAAAGAGUUACUUGCUAGCGAAGGAAGUAAUUCCCACGACAUCCUCAACGAUCCAUUGACUCAAGUGUUUGGUCCUGAUACAAGGGGUCGUGUUCGAGGUGUUGGGACCACCGUUUUCCAAUCACAAAUCAGGGGGUCCGCUGCAGCUCUUGAAAAGAUCUCUUCGUAUAAAGGAAAAGUAGAAGAGCAAUCAUCCACAAUUCAAGAGCAAUUGUUCAAAAUUCAAGAGCUAUCUUCUAAAAUAGAUUUUCUUACGGACCAAAUUGGGGGUAUCAAAGAGAUGAUUCAGCAGCAACACAUGGAUUCGAUUCAACCGGAGAAUCCACAAUCGAUUAGUGGACCCUCAGUUGGGAAUCAUCAAUGUGUAGAGAGAAUGCGGCCAUGCAAGUUGUACUCUUGGCGUAAAGAGCUCGUUGCUCAAGGGCGAGUUAUUUUGGCAGAUGGGCUUCAAAUGAUUCAUGGCAAACCUCUUCAGGAAGAUCUUUACAAGGUUGCCAUUGAUGUCAUUAUCAAAGGAGACGUCGAAUUGCCCGAGCCAGACGGAUAUCAUUCGACUUUAGGCGAAGUUGGAAUUGGCUCAUUUGUUGCAUGGCAUCAUUGCUUUACUGAGUUCACUGAUUAGCAACAAUAGUUUAAUACUUUUUUGGACACUUAACCUUUUUGGACUAUAUAUAUGUUUUGAUUGUAUAGCUUACUUGAUUAGUUGUUUCUAUAGAUUGAACAUGAUAGAUAUAAUGCAGGUUUUUGACAAAUGUGUUGAUGGCUUCGAUCAUCACUACAUGGUAAGGAAUUAUAUCACAGAUAAAACACUUUACUGAAAGUAGACUCUACCAGUUUGGCUAACACUGCAUUGUUGUUGCCUAUUUUCAGGUAUCUGUAUGGGAGAGAUUUGCUUCUUGCAUCAGAGUUAAAUAUCAUGAAUGAUUAUAUGCUGUCAGGUUUUUUACUGAAAUGGUGGGCUCUCUACAAGGCCCAAGAAGUCAUUGGGAGAAUUCUGGCAGUCCAUCUGAGAGGAACAGUGUUCCUGAAUUACUGGUUUGAGAUGCUGGGAGCUCGGGUCGGAUCAUUGGUUUUGCUUGACACUGUCGAUAUUACGGACCCUACUCUGGUUUUGAUUGGAAAUGGAGCUGUGAUUGUAGAGGGGCGAUGGUUUAAAGCCAUGAGGUGAGGGAUGGAGUUUUAAGCUUCAUGCUGGUAAAGAUUGGACAAAAUGUUUCGGUCGGUCCUUACUUUGUGAUUCAGAAAGGAAGUGUUUUGGGAGAUGAAGCUAAGGUUCCUCCCUUGCAGAAGACAGAGAGGAAAAACUAUGUUUAGAAACCAAAAGGCUGGUAAAAUUCUGAAGGGCGAAAUGCACUCAGAGCUCCCGGUUACACUUACUGCCUUUUACCACGUCAUGGGCAUCUAUGCGGUUGGAGUGGCUACCUUUGACCUGAGGUUAGCCUCACUUCAUCUUUCAUAGUACAUUGAAACAAGCAGUUCAUAACAAAAUACAAAGACUCUACUACAUUUUUAUGAUCCCAUGGUGAUCAUUGCCCACCCGAACAAGCUUGCACCAGAUGGUAUGGUUGGAGUUUUGAAGCUGGUUGAUAGAUGUUAUACGUCAACCAAGAAUGUGCUGAUUCUUGAUGACAUUCUGGGUUUUGAUAGUCUUCUUUCAAAUGUUCACCCUAACACUAAAUUGCGCAGGUUAUCAUGGUUCAUGGGUGCUUUGAUGAUACUAAGGGAGCUGUGCUGGUUAAAAGUUUGGCUGCCAAGGAACCAUCUGCUCUUGCCUUGGAUACUUAUUACAAGCAGUAUUAUCUCUGUUUGGCUGCUGCUGCUGCUACUAUCAAAUGGUAAUCCAAUUCUGCAUGCAUUUGAGUUCUACCUAUUUUUCUAUUCAUGUUGUAACUUCCACUCAAGAGCAUAUUUGAUAUAGAGUGGAUGAUCCCAACCAACAAUGAAUGAGAUUAACGCCUCUAAAAGAGGAAGAGUUGAUGAGUGUGUG